GAGGACUGCUGUCUUCAUUGGUUUUGUAACAUCCUUUAGUGACAUUUGUUUACCAAAGAAGUUUGCAUGGAUAGAAGACUGGUAUAAAUACAGGAAACCCACCAGAAAGAUAAUGCAUUUUUUUAAGUAGUUCUUACUUUCCACAGAUAAAUAUUAAACAUAUUUGGGCACUAUACAGAUAGUUAAUGUACACUUCUGAUGAUCUUGAGACAAAGCAGAAAAAUUAUCAAAGCUACUGAAUGGAAAAAAUGAAGUUUCUGACGGUCUUUAGCAUAGUUUGGCUGUGCCACUCAGAUGAUACAUUACUUCCUCACAACAAUACAGCAGAUUCGUUCCUAAACAGCAUCAGCUGAACAGCAGCCUGACCCCCCCCCAGACAUGACAUCAAAUCCAAUGAUUGGAUCUAUAUUAGAUCAUUUACCUGACAGCAUUUGCCUCAGCCCAGAAGAAAGGGUCCUUUCCUUUUCAUCUCCACAACAGCAACAGCCACAGCCAUCCAAUGUGCUGGUUCAACAACAUGGAUCUCAGUUUCCCACAUCAGAAAAAUCCACACAGAUGUCGGAAAGCCAUCUGGGAAUGUCAGAAACCACCAGGGACCAUUAGGACCAGGAGCAGCUAUGCCUACCAUCAAUCCUAAUCCUGGGGCUUCUAAUAAGACCAGAGCCAUGACCCAACCUGCUGCCACUGCAUGAGAGAAUUAUCGACCCGAUGUCACUUGUGAUGUCAUUACCCAGUGAUCCAGAUUACUUGACUUUAGAUACAUCAUGCAAAUCAAGAGACUAAGUGCCACUUGUGGGAAUCAUUAUGUCAUAUCUGGGAGUCAUCAAAGUAGUCAUCAAGCCGGAAUAACUCAUCCCUUCCUACAAUUCCUUGAAUAGCCACUGUAUUUAUUUUCAUUUCAAUAGUACUGCAACUUUAGAAUUAAUGUUUCAAUCAUGUUUGUCAUGCAGCUGCACUUCUGACUUCAUGGACAUCACCAAUACUGUUUUUCUUCUACUAAGAGAAGUAUAACACUCUGGUGUCCUUACUACUAAAACAGUGAAAAUGUCAAAAUGCUGGGUGUGUUCUGACAUUACUUCUGCUCAUAGGGUGAGAGUACCCAUGACAGGUAUCCUAUACAAUGUAUCAGAAUACCCAAAGUCUUAUGAACUGUCGAUGCCAAACACCAGGAAGACAACAAGAACAGAUAGUCCUUUCAUCUAUCUACAUCAUCAGUCAUCAGGAAAAAAAGAUGAUUACCUGUAUCCAGUAACAAGGAACUUAACCCUGUUUGUAAAGCCAGUGUGAGGCGAUUCUUACCAAAACCUGCAUCAAAGUGAACUGUACUGCCCUGCAAAUCUUUGUAGCCAACACGACCAUAACUUUUAUCAGCAACAAAAAUGGGCAUCCUUCACAAAAGACAUUGAGUGAUUCCUUACACAAUACCCAGCAUCAUCUUGAUUGGAUAAUCUACACUAAUGGUAUAAUUUCCUAGACUCCUACCAGCACUACCCCCCUCCCCCAUGCCACAGACAGACACAACACUAAUGAACUGUGGCCUUCCUCCUGGCUACCUCAUCUAUUGGACUCUGUAACAAAAUAUACAUUAUUUGCAUCAACAAACCUUACUGGUGACUUCCAACAAAUGUGGAGGGAGGGGUUCAUUGGAUAUGUAGGUCCAGCUAUUCAUCAUACAGAUAGCCUACCUUCAGGAAAAAUCAGAAACAUUCAACAAAAAAAAAAUCAGACUAAAGACUGUAUCCCUUAAGAAAUCUAGUCAGCAAAACUGAGGCAUCACAGAUUUACUGUCACAAUCUAGAACAGGCUACAUUUAAAGGACUUUCCCAUGUAGAAUUGGAUGAUGUCAUGUCUGGGGCCGGCAAACUUCCAGCUUUUAAGGCACUAAGGUUUAUUUGGGAAUUAGGGCUUUUGUGCUGCAGAACAGAAAUCAUGGGUGGUUACAAUUAUUCUUGCAUUAUUUCUAUUUUUAUGCAAAGCUUUGGUAUCAAAGUAAAACUGCCAAGUGUACAAACAUCCUGACUAACCAGUUUUAGAAAGAUGUAUGAUAAUGUGUUUAGAUAAAAUAAAAAAUCAGAUAACUUUACGUUAUACAGGUAGACAGGAUGCAUUUCUUGCUAAUAAAAUUAUUUUCGUUAAAAGUAAAGAAAAAUGUGCAUGUAAAGGUUAUGUUGGUACAGCUUGAAAAAAAAAUAUCUGAUGAAAUGUUGAACAAUGUCUUGGCAUGUUUACAGCUUUCAGUUUUUGUUUUGGGGUGAACUGCAAAUAAUGCUUCAUAGUAUCAGAUGGGGGACAGAAGAAAUGAGAUUUUUAUAAGAAAACAAAUCAAGACUGGAAUCCAUCUUGAAUUAAAAUGGAUGCAAUUUAGAAUGUUAAUGUUAAUUCGCCUAUCAAAUGUGAAAUCUCGUGCUUAGUUAUCUCAGCUAUAUAGAAAUAGAAUUAGUCAUACAGUAUGGCCAGGGCUAUGAUAAGAAAGCGCAAGAUUGUACUGUCAGCAGGAUAUUGCAGAAACAUCUAUUGCUCUUUCUGGUCAGUCAGCUAGACUGUAUAUUAAUGUUUCAUUUAUACUGUGUGAUUUUACUAUAAAAAUAAGAGCUCUCCCUUAGCUCGGGGAGACAUAGGCUUAUUUUACUUGGUCUCCCAUAAUCUUGUUCUUAAAUAAAGAGAUUUCUUGCUUGGCUGAA